GCCCCAGCCCACCAGCCGUCCCACAGUCCCUCAGGAAAACGUACAGGCACGCAGCGUGCAGUUGUCAUGGGAACCCGGCAGCGACGGUUUAUCGCCGGUCCGGUAUUACACGGUUCAGGUCAGAGAGCUGCCUGAGAAGAACUGGACGGUUCAUUCUGCGUCUGUUAGCCACGAGUCCAGCUCCUAUAUUGUUGACAGACUGAAGCCCUUCACCUCCUAUCAGUUCAGAGUGAAGGCCACUAAUGAUAUUGGAGACAGUGACUACAGCGAAGAGAGUGAAGCCAUUACAACACUACAGGAUGCUCCUGACGAAUCUCCCACAAUCCUAACUGUCACGCCACACACCACAACCUCUGUGCUGAUAUGCUGGCAGCCCCCUCCUGAGGAGAAGAUUAACGGGAUCCUACUGGGCUUCCGAAUCCGAUAUCGGGAGUUACUUUACGAUCGACUCCGAAGUUUCAGCGCUCAUGCUAUCAGCAGCCCUUCAACCAGCUGGGCAGAAC